UAAAAUCCUACAGUCAUUCUUCCAGCAUAAAGGGAAAACGGACUCGCUAGGAGGACCUAGACUCUUUCAGCUCGAACUGUUAACCAAUGGUGGAAAUGCAAGAAUGCUGAAGUUGUGCCUUCAGAGCCAAUAGAGUGGAUUUGUGUGUCCCACAUGACUGUGUUUCCCCUGUCUUUCACAUGGGCAGUAUUUAGUUCAAUUCAGAACUGCAGAUAGUAUAGCGUGCAGAGCAGCAAUGGGAUGUCUGAGCACAAGUAGCUGACUUCCAGGCGACUUCAGGAAGCUCAUUUGUACAUUUCUCCUGAAUUAUCUGGGAUUCUGCACCCUUGACAUUCUCCAACCCUCCUUGUCGCUGCAGAAGGAGACAGCGACCUGCACAGCACAACAAAACUACCACAAGACUCAGAAGAUCACUGUGAAACAAAGACACUGGGCCAACCCACUCUGUUGAUAUGACACAAAGUGCAGCCCAGUCUGGCAUUCCUUCCACCCUGAAGGAGUCUCUCACCAGGUAGGAGAAGCUAACUUGUUUCUUUGCUGUUGAAUGACUACCCAUUUUUUCCCCAGC
rnacentral:lncRNA from 1 species